AUUGAACGCUGGCGGCAGGCCUAACACAUGCAAGUCGAACGAGUGGCGGACGGGUGUGUAAUGUCUGGGAAACUGCCUGAUGGAGGGGGAUAACUACUGGAAACGGUAGCUAAUACCGCAUACCAUCGGAUGUGCCCAGGUGGGAUUAGCUAGUAGGUGGGGUAAAGGCUCACCUAGGCGACGAUCCCUAGCUAGUCUGAGAGGAUGACCAGCCACACUGGAACUGAGACACGGUCCAGACUCCUACGGGAGGCAGCAGUGGGGAAUAUUGCACAAUGGGCGCAAGCCUGAUGCAGCCACGCCGCGUGUGUGAAGAAGGCCUUCGGGUUGUAAAGCACUGUUAGUGGGGAGGCGUUACCUGCAGAAGAAGCCCCGGCUAACUCCGUGCCAGCAGCCGCGGUAAUAC
rnacentral:rRNA from 1 species